GCCCCGGCUGCAGCCUCUAUGACAGAGAUGCUUCAAGGCAGCAGGGCUGGUAUGCACAUUGUGCUGUCACUCUGGUCAGUGGUGCAGCAGGAGCUGAGCAGGCAGUCAUGCAGCUAAGGAGCCUUCCCCCAUCACUGUAGCGUCAGCCCCAUGUGGUUGAGGAGCACGAGUGUGCCUGCAGCUUGUCUUGCCCCUGCAGCUUGUCUUGUCCCAGUAUCCCUGCUGCACAGGUCCCUCCAUGCUUGCUUUGCUCAGGUGAAAUGAGUCAGGGCAGAUGAGUGGGGUUAGGCUUCAAAUCCUGGGGUUCUUGGCCUGUUUUUUUGCUUUAGGAAGGGUACAAGAAGUGAAAGGUAUUGGUGGGAGCAUCCGGGAGCUGGAAUCCCAGCUCCCCAGCCUCUACCGAGGCAAGGCAAGAAGGACUGGAGCUAACUGGGUGCUGCCCAGCACAGUGUGGGGAACAAACAGCAUCAGUGGCCACAGCACACCUCCUCUCAUUAUUUAUUGCUUACUCCUCAGAAAAGGCCUCUGUUUGCCUAUUUUUUGAUGAUUUUGCUGCAAAAUCUGUUGAUAGAGAGAUCAGAAAUUUUGCUAAAACCUCAGCUGUUGAAGUGAUGGUACUGCUCCAUUGACCAUGCUUAACCAGUACUCAACCAGCGCUGGCUCUUUCAUUCCAGCUGGGAUCAGCAGUUAUUCUCUCAGACAUCAAUACCACUGUGGGCUGUUGUCAUCCACAGCAGAGACCUUUGUCCAUUUCCCCUCUCCAGCCUUUCAGUUGACACUUUGAUACCUCAUCUUCACGCUGCCUCCAAGUUCAUUGAUACUGGCCAGGGUCUUCCCAAAUCCUCUGCCCAUAGUGAGGGUUUGGAUUUCUGGGAAGCUCUGGAAAGGCUUCCUGGGACCUGCACAGUGGUCUAUCCCAUGCAACUCCACAAAAAGGCCCUUCUAUCACUUCUGUAGGUUUCCCAUGGGCUCAGGUCUCAGCAAAGCUGUGCAGCAUGAGCCAGGGUGCCCUUCCCCUGGCUCCUUAUCUCCCCAGCCUGUCUGUGCAACUCCCGGUGCUGCUGCCUCCCCUGCCUUUUACCUAUGUGUUUUUAUGGCUCAGAGGGAGCCGUCCUGCCCCAAUUCCCUGCAUGCUCCUAAUUUCAUAGUUCUCUCCAUGUAUCCAUAUAUAUCCAUAUAGCAUUUGAUACAGGUUUUAUGGGCAUUUCCAUACGUUUUACAGACACAGCCAUUACAGAGCCAGGUUUCUCCCGAGAAACCUCAGGGGAGCAGAGCACUGAAUCGCCUUAGUCUUGGCCCCAGAACAAGGCUCUCUUCUCUCCCUUGCUGGGGCUGCCGCUAUCAGCGCUGCAGAGGGCUGGGGGACGGCUUGGGGCUGGUCAUGCCAGCCUUGAGAGCCAGGAUGCUGUCUGCAGCCUCAUCCAUCCUGCUUCUUGCAGCCUCAUGCUGCAAACCCCAGGGCUGUCACUUCUGCCCUUUGCUCCCUUUCCAGAUGGAUGCCACUGGCAAGGGACUGCUUUGAAUUCAGGACCACAAUCUGUAUGGCUGGGUUGCCAGCAUCCAGCCUGUUUGCCUACCUGUGGGGCUUUACAUCUGGCUGGCUGUGGAGACUGGGAGCCCCUGGCUGUAGUGCAGAGAGUGAUGCCAUCCCAGCUGUUGGGGCAGGGACACUGAUGUACAAGGCUCUGAACUGCAGCUGCUGCAGUGCAUGCAGAACAUCUGACCUCUGACACAGUGGCUUCUGGCUGGUGGAGGGACAGAAAAUAGAUCCAGGUCAUGCAGCUCUCUGCAUGUAUUUUGGCCUGCUACAGAGGCUGCAGUAAUGCCCAGCACUGCACAGGAGCUGACUGUGUUCCCAGCACAAGGAAAGAAGCCUCAGAUCUUGUUUAAAAAGAAGUUGGGUGACAUGUGUCUUCAUCUUCACUAUGGCCAAACCCUAAAGCAGCCUGAAGUGCAAAUCUAAGGCAUCACCAUGACAUUGUCACUAGGUGCUGGGCUGUUGAGCACUGUGUGCAGGGGAAGAUGGAUUGGGACAAGUGCAUGCAGGAUUGCAUGCACUUAGCACCCCCACAACCUAUUGCUAUUUGACAGGGGCAAAUGUGGCAGCAUCUGGCCUCACUUCAGGUCCCCAGUUCUCCUGGCCUCGUGUUGGACUGAUGGGAUGAGGAAUUUUCCACACUGUGUGUGAAUUCCCAUUUGCAGGGCAAAUGCCCACUCCCACCCAACACUCCCUCAAGGGCUGCUCCUUGAUGCUCAGCCAUCCCAAACACGGCUGUGGCAUCAUCCAAUCCAGCCCUGCAUGUGAGCAGUGCCCUGGAUCAGCUAUUAAUAGCAGCUCCCCUCUCCCUUUUUGAGGGCUGGUGGGAGUCCAGGGUACAUCCCACUCUCUUUUCUUGAACAGAUCCUGAAAGCAGGAACCAUUUGUGGCUUUCCUGGCCAGCGUGUCUUUCCUUGGCCUCCAGCAUGUUCUAUUUUCUGUGCUGUUUACUGUUCUUCUGUGGGCUGUCAGGUUUCCACGCUGGGGAAAGGCUUGUAAAUGAGGGGGGGUGGGCAGUGAGUCCGCACGGAGUGGCUAUGGGAAGGCAGGGAUGGAGGAGCACAGACAUGGCCUUUAUCACAGCCUAGGGGAUGUGUGGCUCAUAAAUCCAACCCAGGCAGAUAGGGGAUAAAUCAUCCCAGCUGGGACACUGGUGGUUACCCAUGGUUAGAAAUUAACUUUGUGUUGGAUGGAUCCCAGGCUGUGGGAUGGGAAGGGAAGGCUGCUCUGGGCAGCAUGCCUCCUGCCUGGACAGCCCUGGAGGCAGGCUGCAGGCAGGCAAGGAGAUGCCUGCUGCCCUGGCCCAGCCAGGCAGAGCUGGUGGGCACAAUUAAAGCCAGAUUGAGGAAGCAAACAAGCUGGGGUGGAUACUGUGGAUGAACCUGUGCUGUGGGUGAUGCUCUGGCAUUCACUCUGACCUGUCUGGACUUUGGCACUUUGAUGAGUGUCUGUAGCCGUGGCACUCAUCAUCGAGGGGCUGCAGCACACUGGGCAUUAGGACUGGUCUGCAUGGGAGGGGACAGGGACCCAAGGUGGAAGGGAAGGCAGCAGGGUGUGCUUGCAGGGCAGGAGAAGGUAUGUGCUCAGAGCAGGACUGUCACCUUCCGCCCCAGUUUUGGCAGAAAUGGAAGCCUCAUCUGGUAUCACAGGGACAUCUGGAUGGGGCAGUCUCUGGCCUGGCUCUGUGCCUCUGAGGGUGGGAGAAGGCAGUGAAGCCCACAGACCAUGUUUCACUUUCUAUCUGCAGUAUCCUUCUAGCCCCAGUUCCCCUUUAUUCCAUCUGUAGUCUUCCCUGCCCGUCUCCAUGAACAUCCCCAAACUCUACUAUGUGUGGGGCCAAGGAUUCCAUGACAGCUUUUAGGUAUGCAACCACAGCAACCUCUUCUUUUGCUCAGGUCACGUGUCCACAGCUGGGACCAUGUCACUCUUGGAGUCUCAGAGCACCCACUGAGGAGGAAGAGGGGAAGGGGAAGGGCAGGGGUGACGAGGACACCCCUCCUGCAGUGGGUCUCCAGGCAUCUGGCUCUGUUCACUCCUAGCCAGCUCUCUAAUAGCUCCCCAGCUUUCCUUUCUAAUGAGGCUCUAAUUGGAAGCCGGUUGUGCUUCCCUUCCCCUCCUCUCAGAACUCUCCAGUCCCAGUGCUGCAGGGUGAUUAAGCUGAGGUUUUGGGUUUUUUUAAUAUGGCAGAAUUAUUUUGGAAGGGCCAGGAUCGUUACAUGACGGGCUUCUUGAAAAACCCCAGGCUUCGCCUUUCAGACGAGGCCUUUUCAAGUGGUUUUGCACAGUACACGUCUCUGGGCAGCGACCGUCUCGAACAGUUACUGUUAAUUAUAGAUGCCUCUUUCCCGCUCGCCCAUUACUCAAAGGAUUUUUGUGUGUUUUAACAGUGUUUUACAUCAGCUUGAAUAAGACUCUAUUCAGUAUUUCCAAGAGCUGGAACUUGGGCAUCCCCUGCUGUAUGUGUCGUGCUCUCCUCCCUGCAUCCCUGGGGCCAGGGACCACGCAGCCAGCACGAGCACAAGCCUUCCUCCCGCUGCCCAGCCAGUGCAUGCGCUGCGCUGGGUGCAGGAGUUGUGCCUUCUGCAAGCACGUUCUCUUGGUGUCCUUCUCCUUCUUGAGUCUGCAUGCUGAGCUCUGUGGGCCAUCCCCUGAAUCCACCCUCCAUCAUCCUUACAUGCUGAGCUCCACUGCCCAGGUGCACGCUCAGCCAGACCAUGUGCUCACAUCUGUGUCAUCAUCUUUGCCCAAGGAUUCAGUCUCCCACUCUCAGGCACAAUGGUCCCAUCCUGGGCUCCUUGGGCUGUGCAAGGUCAUCUUCUCCUUGCUGAGUUCCAGGCCAGUGUGUUCCCCUUGCAUUAACACAGUAGCUGGGGCUGUUCCCCAAGUUCUCCUUCAUUGCCCAACUAUUCAACAGCAAAUUAUUGCACUAAUGUCCUUGACAAUGCUCUUACCUCCCAUGCCAUCCCACCCCAUUUGUACCCUCUGCCUGCAAAAGCCACCAUUUUUUCCAGCUUGCCUCCUGUGUUUUACCUUAGGGGUAGGCCGUGAGAAUAGUUUGCAUCUUCUCCCAUGACAGCCAAGCUGGUUUAGCCAUCCUCCUUGUGAAAACAUCUUGUCCUAAGUAUUUUCCCAUUCCCACUGCAAACCCUAGAUGCUCAUCUGGGAAUGCUGGUUCCUUUAGAGAGCUCUGGUGGGUUUGAGAGGGGUGAUUUCCCCCUGCAGAGUGUUGCUGUGCCUUCUCUCCAGCUGCAAGCUAGGUGUUUCUGCUCCUGAAGCCAAGUAUUGAGCUCUGUGUCUCUCUUGAGUGAUGGGAACCCCCCCAAGCUGUGCUGAGCACUCCACAGUGGAGGCACAGCCUCGUGAGCAGAGCACCCUGCCCAAGUGCUGGGCAGCUGGCCUUGGCAGUGGGUGCCCCUGCCAGCAUUGCAGCUUUGGUCAGUGGAGAAGCCUAGAAGGAUUGGAAAAUAAGGAGCAGCAUCAGGACUGUUCUGCUGUCCAGCUUCACAAGCCCAGAGGUGACAAGAGCUUCCCCUGUGUCCUCUGCGAGCUGCUGGCUGCUCCCCCAAGAAACCACAAAUUGGAGGGAAAAAAUGGGUCCUCAUGCCUGCCACCCAUCCUCCUAAAGGCUGGAGUGAGAACUGGGGGUGGGGCGGCACAGCUGGGGGCACAGCAGCAUUGUUCCCCAUUUAGGGAAGGAGGAGAUGUGCCUUGUUUGGGCACCUCUGCAGCCCUCACCUCCUCCACCUCACUGUACAGGGCACUGUGGUCAGGCCCAUUUAUAAAGCUAGUAAAUAUAUUGGCAGAGUUUGUGUCCCCUCCAAAGGUCAAUAUUUGUGCAGAGUUUAAUUUUAACUUAACAAGCAGUUGUUUGCAGAGGCUGCCUGUUUGUGUGUGUGUGUGUGUGUGUGCUUCCCCACUGAUCGAUGCCCGUGGGGAGGAGUGUGAGUGGCUCAGGUGUGUGCACUGACUCACUGGGGUCCAGAGGGGGUUGGUGACACUUCCCGCUCCCGGAGAUGCUCCGGAUGCAGGGGCAGCAUUAUGUGGUCCAGCAGAUAAGGUCCAGGGUCUGUGGCUGAGUCUAUAAAUGCAACCCACAAACCUCUCCAGGAGGUGACAGUGGGCAACAUGUGCCCCAUGAGCAUUAGCACAAACAGCAGCCAAUGGGGACAGUGGCUUUCCCAGCCUGUUCUGACCGGUGCUCUGGGCUUGCUACAGCAGCCCUGCAGCCACAUAGCCCCCAGUCUUGUCCCUUCUGAACCCAUGUGGCUUUUGUGGCUCUCAUCUGUGUUCUGGCAGCAUGGGUCUCCCAGCUGAGCAUAUUGUUCAGGCUGUUUCCAGGGCUCUUCAGUAUCACUGCCUAUGGGGUUUUAUACCCCCUGUCCACCCUCCCACCACACCAGGCCCCGGGGCUGCUGACUGACCUCAAAGAGAAAAGCAGGCUGCGAGGGACGGCAGCAGGGAUGGGCAGGGGUAAACAUGGGGCUGGGGCCGGGCAGCAGUGGGUGCUGGAGAUGAGGUCAGGCCGUGACGUGAGCCCUGCGGCUUUGGGGACAGCCGUGGUCAGGCUGCUCAAGGAGGGGCGGCUGUUUUCCUGCAGCUCUGCCGCUUGCUCCUGGUGCCCGUCUAACUUAUAAACUUUAAUGGCCAGUUUAAAAGGUUCCUGCCAUGGGCACCUUGUUGCCAGAUUUAGGUUUUUAAUUUGGAAACUUUCCCCUCUGUGGUCAGAGGAGGAAGGACUUGGGUCCGCUCAGGACCAGUCAUCAGGACACGUGGGUGCCAAAGAGAGUGUCCAAAAGGACCGUGCUGUCGUCACCGGUGUCGGGACAGGGUUGGCCACGCAUGGGGCAGACAAGCUGGAGGAGCCCCUGGUCCCCUCCCGCUGCCCACAUAUUGGUGGAAUAAAUUUAGCUCCUCCUCCGCUGCUGGCUGGGGGAGCACCGUCAGUGCCACCUGCUCCAGCACAGUCCUGCCCCUCAGCCCCAGGGACCACCACAGCUCUGGGCUGCGUGGGCAGCGUUCUCAUCCUGCAGCCCUCGGGAGACACCAGGGGCACACAAACCCCAGCUUGCAGGGACGAGCAUUGGCUACAGACACAUUUGCUGCCGCCAGCGGAGCUGGGGUUAGACGCAGAGCCAGGGUUAGACACAGAGCCAGGGUUAGACACAGAGCUGGGGUUAGGUACAGAGAAGGGAUUGUGCACAGAGUAAUGCCUGGAUGUACUGCUUGGCAGGUGGAGAGGAUGCAGGGCCUGCACUGUGCGAGACACUGAGGGCAUGGCACUGCUGCUCUUCCUUCUCUUCCUCACAUCCCACCUUCCCUGAAGCCCCUUGGCAGCCCCUGUGAGGUCUGGGUUAGCAGAAUCACAUUUCCCUACUGAGAACUCAGCUCUCCUCUGCCUGCAAAGACUCAAGAAACCCUUGCAAUGCCCAGCAGUUGUUGGGUGCUGGGACACAAGGUGAGACCUAGCCCUUUGCAUUCAACAUGGAAACCAGCCUGUAAGCUUGAUGGAAUCCUUCCCAUCCAGCCCUGGGGAGAACAGGGACAUCUCACCCCCCCCAGCUGCAGCCACCUGGGGUUACUAACAGUGGGGUUCCAAGGAGUGACUAUGGCUUGGCUGGCUCUCUCCUGUCACCAGACUGAUGUGGUGAGGCUUGUCCAUACCUUCAUGCUGUACAGGCUGGUUGUCUGAGAGCACUGCAUGAGGGCUGGCCCUUCCAGUGUGUGCUGAUGUGUCCAUGCUCUAAUGGGCUGGAUCAGAGCCCACCCUGGGGCAUCUUGGCUACCAGGAGGGUCCAGGACUUUGCUGGGGGCUUGGGGAGCUGAAUGGCGGACAAGAUGGCUGGCUUGGCAAAAUUCUGCACCCCAGGGGUUGAACCUCCCCAGGGUGGGCACCCAGAGCAGUAUAAAUAGCACAUGAAGCCAGAGGAGCAGAGGAGUGGCCCUGGUUUACCAGCACUUUCAUACCAUGGCUUUCAAGUGGUUCCCCUGCCUCUUCCCCAUGAGCCAGUGGCACAUCUGCACCCAGCCGGCUGCCUCCAGUGCUGUGCCACGUGCUCUGUGGCUGCUGGAGCCGGUGCCACGUGCCAGCCCUGGAACAGCCCUGCCUUUGCCAGCCCUGUAAUUGAUUCCUGCUCUCCUGCACGGGUGGAGGCUGCAGAUCUGUAGCCUGGUAGAAGGCAGUGGGCUGUGGGCACCAGCUGCAGGAGGCAGCAUGGACAGAGUGAGGAGCAGCCCAGUCCUCAGCUCUGAUGUCAACUUGAAGAGCUGCCUUUUGAGCUUCCAGGUGUUUGAAGAGGUUCUCUGCCAACCUCAAUUCCUGGAGGCAGGGCAUUUGAGGGAACCCCUUUCCCCCACUUUGGGGCUGCUGGAGGAGCUGGGGCUGUUGGGGAGCAAAGAAAGAGCUCCUUGACUAUUUGAGAUGAUGGCAGCUGAUGGCAGUGCAGGGUGGGCCUACAGGGGUCCCUUGUUACUUCCCCAAGUCCGCAGAAAGACCUGGCCAUAGUGAUGUCAGGGGUUUAAGUUGAGGAGGAUUUUGUAGCCUGGCACCAAAUAGAAGACAAUGUAUUUGAACAUGUUAUUAUGAAUAAGGUUGAAGGUAGACCAAUUUUUAGACUGGAGGGUGAUGGUAUUACAGGAGAGCGGGACUGCAAAUAGAUGAGAUUUUACAUGAGCACAGGGCAGGUGGAAUCAGACGUCCUUAGUACCUUGUUUUCCAGUACUGCUGCUGACACAUAGUGCUGCAUGGAAGAAAAUACAUAGAAAAAUAGGUAUAAAAAUGGUGAGGCUUUUAGAAAACACUGUAUUUAGCCAAAGGCCAUGGUUUUGCUGUCUGGAGAUGGCAAGGGGUGGGUGAAACCUUCUGAGCAAGGCAAGCAUGAAUGGAGAGAGUGAUGUGAUGAGUGGGCAGGGGGCUGGAAAAAGAAGCAGUUGCCAGAGCUGAGGAGGUCUUUGAUCCUCAUUGCUCAAGGGGGAGCAGUGAAGCUCCGCUCAUCUCUCCCAGAACAGGCUGGGAUUCCUGCCCUUGAAAGUGAGGAACAACUUGGACUGCAGUGGCUGAACCUGGCAGGACAGAGAUGGAAGAGGCUGCAGCAACAAGGAGAAAUCUGCUUGCCUAGGUGGAGUGGCACAGCAUGGGGCAGAGUUGGGGCCAUGGCUCCCAGCUCCCCCAGCCCUCUAUGACCCCCAGGUAGCAUCACAGAGACUCUGUCCCUCUCUCCAAGGGCUGAAAGGGCGACGGUGCCCUGACAGAGUGUUUUAUUCGCAGCAGGUGCCUGAAAUCCAACCGUGGUGGUGCAGCAAUCCCUCCCCUCACCUGGAGAUGAACCCAGCUUGAGAGGCACGGCUGUGCAGGGUCAGGCCCUGCCAGUGUUGGGAUUGCCCCUGCCAUAACCAGAGUGACUCCCUGGCAGCCUGACAGGCUGGUCCUGCCGUGGGAGACAGGCGCGUAAUGCCUGAUUUCACAGCACUGGCAUGCUCUGUUUGCUUGUGGCAAUGAUCUCUCUGCCCUGUCCACCUCCAGCCCUUGUCCAGACCCCAACCUGCAGCUCUGUCAGUUGGAAUUAGGUACAAGAUUUGGGCUAAAAUAUCUUUGCUGUUGGCUGGAGCAUUGAGAGAGAGGGGAAAGGUCAGCCUGUCAUAUCUGGAGAUGGAGCUCCUUCCCUGCCACCAACCCAUGUGUGGCAUUCCCCAGAGCUGCCUUCAGCCCCCGCAGCCAGCACUGGGGUUUUGCAAGCCCCACACAGAAGGCAGACAUUUCCCCAUCUUUCUGAUGCUGAGGUUGUCCAUGAGAUGGGUGUAUAGGUCCCUGAGCUGUCUGGAACAAACCAAAGGAAUACUUGUGAAGGAAAGAGGAACAGGAGUGUCCAUGCAGAAAGAGUCUCCCAUUUGCUGUCUGCUCCCUGAGUGCUCCUUGCUGUGCCAGAUUUUUCCAGCAAAGCCGUGUUGAGAGGAGGAACUGUCGAGCAGCAGCCCCCUGCCCUCGAUGCCUCCAAGAACUGGGGUUGUUUGGCAACAGAAAAGCAGUGAUGUCCUGUGGGACAGCUGGCAGCCUAGUGCAGGAAGUGCUAGGGGAGGCAGAGCAGGAUCUGUGGCACCCUGGCAAACUCCAGCCUUGGACUUACAGGAGCACUCUAUCUGUGUCUCAGUGUUGCGUAGUGCUGAGCCCAAGCCGAGGCUCCUUAUCACCUCACGGUGAGGUGCACAGCCCUGAGCAGCCUUCCAUGUCCCUGCAAUCUUGCCCUCUCCCAAAGUGCUGCUUCCUGCUUGUCUUGCUGGGCCCUGGCUUUGUUGGCUGAGCUCGCUUAGCUUUGACAAAGUUUAUAGUGCUGGAAUGCAGAAUGGCUGCUGGCCUCCCUCCAGCCUAAACAUCCCCACCCCAGAGUGCGACAGGCGCUGAUAAGGACCCUGCCCAGGAUCUGCCGUGCAGGAGAAGGGCAGGCAUUUGCCUCUGCUCUGCAGCAGCUCUACACUGCAGUGACACAGCAGGAGG